GUAUGCAGUUGGCGGACACGACGGCUCAUCUUAUCUCAAUAGUGUGGAGAGGUAUGAUCCUAAGACUAACCAGUGGAGCAGUGACGUCGCCCCUACUAGCACCUGCAGGACCAGUGUGGGUGUUGCUGUAUUAGGAGGGUAUCUGUAUGCCGUGGGAGGUCAGGAUGGUGUUUCCUGUCUCAACAUUGUAGAAAGGUAUGAUCCGAAAGAGAAUAAGUGGACUCGUGUUGCCUCGAUGAGUACCAGGCGGUUGGGUGUAGCUGUAGCUGUAUUAGGAGGUUUUCUUUACG